rnacentral:rRNA from 1 species
GCGACCCCAGGACAGGCGAGGCCACCCGCCGAGUUUAA